GCAUAUCUUUUAAGCGGAGGAAAAGAAACCAACAGGGAUUGCCCUAGUAACGGCGAGUGAAGCGGCAACAGCUCAAAUUUGAAAUCUGGCUCUUUUAGAGUCCGAGUUGUAAUUUGCAGAGGGCGCUUUGGCUUUGGCAGCGGUCCAAGUUCCUUGGAACAGGACGUCACAGAGGGUGAGAAUCCCGUACGUGGUCGCUAGCUAUUGCCGUGUAAAGCCCCUUCGACGAGUCGAGUUGUUUGGGAAUGCAGCUCUAAAUGGGAGGUAAAUUUCUUCUAAAGCUAAAUAUUGGCCAGAGACCGAUAGCGCACAAGUAGAGUGAUCGAAAGAUGAAAAGCACUUUGGAAAGAGAGUCAAACAGCACGUGAAAUUGUUGAAAGGGAAGCGCUUGCAGCCAGACUUGCUUGCAGUUGCUCAUCCGGGCUUUUGCCCGGUGCACUCUUCUGCAGGCAGGCCAGCAUCAGUUUGGGCGGUGGGAUAAAGGUCUCUGUCACGUUCCUUCCUUCGGGUUGGCCAUAUAGGGGAGACGUCAUACCACCAGCCUGGACUGAGGUCCGCGCAUCUGCUAGGAUGCUGGCGUAAUGGCUGUAAGCGGCCCGUCUUGAAACACGGACCAAGGAGUCUAACAUCUAUGCGAGUGUUUGGGUGUCAAGCCCGAACGCGUAAUGAAAGUGAACGGAGGUGGGAACCCGCAAGGGUGCACCAUCGACCGAUCCUGAAGUUUACGGAAGGAUUUGAGUAAGAGCAUGGCUGUUGGGACCCGAAAGAUGGUGAACUAUGCUUGAAUAGGGUGAAGCCAGAGGAAACUCUGGUGGAGGCUCGCAGCGGUUCUGACGUGCAAAUCGAUCGUCAAAUUUGGGCAUAGGGGCGAAAGACUAAUCGAACUAUCUAGUAGCUGGGUCCUGCC
rnacentral:rRNA from 1 species